rnacentral:rRNA from 1 species
GUCUGCGUCCAUACCACACUGAACACGCCCAAUGUCUGAUCUUGGAAGCUAAGCAGGGUUGGGCCUGGUUAGUACUUGGAUGGGAGACCACUUAGAAAGACCAGGUGCAGUAGGCA